ACUCGGAUUGCACUGGACAAGCUGCUGUGAUCUGACCCAUGGGUAUCAGUUGUAGUGUUUGGGGUCGUUAAAUCUUAAGACUCAAGUCAGAGUUCCGUGACAGAUACACCAUUUGUGCGUGUAGGUGGACUAUGUACAGCGGCACUAAAGAAAGUACUCCGUAGGAUUGUAGUUCCUGACUAGAGAAGAGAGGAGCGGGAUCUGGUUUUGAAGCGCCCGCCGCUCUGUGGGUCCACAGACUAGCUAGUGGAAAGCGCAAAUCUCAGGUUGAACAAGGAGGAAAAGAGCUGGAAUCACAGAGGAGACCCCUGAAUGACCUUAGGGAUCUGGACUUCCGGGCUGGUGACUGGCCUCCACCUUUGACGCCUCCGUGGCGUCUACUAGAGACGGCAUUCGAGGCGGCUGCCGGCGUGAGACUGUCUCCACUUUUCCUCCGUUUGUGGCUGCUGUUGGUUAGCCGUUCCCUCACCUUGUUUUCUCACAUAUCCUCACUUCUGUGUCCAACCCACAGUAGUCGCUCCCAAUGCACUUCCUGGAAAGAGAAAAAUGAGGAGCCUAAAGGAGGUUCAGCUGGUGAAGGUGCUUGGUGUCCAAGCUUGAACGCCCGAGUUUGAUCCCUGGAUCCCAUGUAA
rnacentral:lncRNA from 1 species